rnacentral:rRNA from 1 species
AUGGGCACCAAACGCGGCAGCAGAUGCUGUCUUUUUUUUUUUUGCGGGGUAGAUGCUGCAAUCAGCUCUCUCAUCUCAUGUCCAAAACAUCUGAGACGUGCUUUGUUUCGGCAUGCUGACAGCCUGAAACAUCGCCACGCCGGACGAAGAGACCAGACUAGAGCAGGAGCAGCAGGUCAGGUUCACCUGCUGCAGCCGGCGCCGGGCAUGGGGCCGUGGGUGAUGGCGGGACGACCACGGCCGGACCCGGACGGCUUGUUUGCGGCGGGCCUUGCUAGAGCAUCUCCAAUAAAUGGUCCAAAAUUUGGCGGUCCAAAACCGAAGAUGCAAAAUUUGGACCGCCAAAAAGUGCGUUUUGGAGCUUCGAAAAAAGCUCAACUCCAACAGAUGGUCCAAAUUGAUGGUCCAAAAGAGCAACUCCAAUAG